UCUCCUUCCUGACUCUGCAGUCAGGGUUCUUAGGGAUGACUCUAACUGGCUCACCUUGGACUAGAUUCUCCCUGGAGACCAAGCAUCUGUUGCCAGGAAACAAGGCACAUGUUUAAGAGCCCUGGUUACAGAAUGUGAGCUUCACGCUGACUGUAUUAAAUGGGCAUGGGCCACUUUUCAAAGGAGGGAUGAGGUUCCUGCCCUGCUUGGGUUCCUGUCAUGACUUCUUCGAUAAUGAACAGUGAUGUAGAGGUAUAAACUAAAUAAACCUUCUCCUCCCUAA